rnacentral:tRNA from 1 species
GGGACUGUGGCUCAGUGGAUGAGCCUCUGUUUUGCGUGUAGAAGGUUCCAGGUUCAAUCCUUGGCACCCCCA